rnacentral:rRNA from 1 species
CCUACGGGAGGCAGCAGUGAGGAAUAUUGGUCAAUGGACGAGAGUCUGAACCAGCCAAGUAGCGUGAAGGAUGACUGCCCUAUGGGUUGUAAACUUCUUUUAUAUGGGAAUAAAAUGUUCCACGUGUGGGAUUUUGUAUGUACCAUAUGAAUACGGCUCGGCUAACUCCGUGCCAGCAGCCGCGGUAAUACGGAGGAUCCGAGCGUUAUCCGGAUUUAUUGGGUUUAAAGGGAGCGUAGGUGGAUUGUUAAGUCAGUUGUGAAAGUUUGCGGCUCAACCGUAAAAUUGCAGUUGAAACUGGCAGUCUUGAGUACAGUAGAGGUGGGCGGAAUUCGUGGUGUAGCGGUGAAAUGCUUAGAUAUCACGAAGAACUCCGAUUGCGAAGGCAGUUCACUGGACUGCAACUGACACUGAGGCUCGAAAGUGUGGGUAUCAAACAGGAUUAGAUACCCGAGUAGUC